rnacentral:rRNA from 1 species
UGGGGAAUUUUGGACAAUGGGGGCAACCCUGAUCCAGCAAUGCCGCGUGUGUGAAGAAGGCCUUCGGGUUGUAAAGCACUUUUGUCCGGAAAGAAAACGCCGUGGUUAAUACCCGUGCGGAUGACGGUACCGGAAGAAUAAGCACCGGCUAACUACGUGCCAGCAGCCGCGGUAAUACGUAGGGUGCAAGCGUUAAUCGGAAUUACUGGGCGUAAAGCGUGCGCAGGCGGUCCGCUAAGACAGAUGUGAAAUCCCCCGGGCUUAACCUGGGAACUGCAUUUGUGACUGGCGGGCUAGAGUAUGGCAGAGGGGGGUAAAUUCCACGUGUAGCAGUGAAAUGCGUGAGAUGUGGAGGAAUACCGAUGCGAAGGCAGCCCCUGGGCCAAUACUGACGCUCAUGCACGAAAGCGU